UCGAACGGAAAGGCCUCUAGCUUGCUGGGGGUACUCGAGUGGCGAACGGGUGAGUAACACGUGGGUGAUCUGCCCUGCACUUCGGGAUAAGCCUGGGAAACUGGGUCUAAUACCGGAUAUGAACGGUCUUUGGUGUGAUUGUUGGAAAGAUUUUUUCGGUGUGGGAUGAGCUCGCGGCCUAUCAGCUUGUUGGUGGGGUAAUGGCCUACCAAGGCGUCGACGGGUAGCCGGCCCGAGAGGGUGUACGGCCACAUUGGGACUGAGAUACGGCCCAGACUCCUACGGGAGGCAGCAGUGGGGAAUAUUGCACAAUGGGCGCAAGCCUGAUGCAGCGACGCCGCGUGGGGGAUGAAGGCCUUCGGGUUGUAAACUCCUUUCGCUAGGGACGAAGCCUUUUAUUAGGUGACGGUACCUGGAUAAGAAGCACCGGCUAACUAC
rnacentral:rRNA from 1 species